rnacentral:rRNA from 2 species
GUGCGAGACCGAUAGCGAACAAGUACCGUGAGGGAAAGAUGAAAAGAACUUUGAAAAGAGAGUUAAAGAGUACCUGAAACUGCUGAAAGGGAACCGAAUCGUUUCCAGUGUCUAUAAUCUGCGGCAUAUUUCAUUGGCGAGUAGAUGUGUGUAGCGUUUUGUAAGUAGUUUUCUGCUGCUGGCGUUGCUUUGCGUUUGCUUGUUGGUGCCCUGUGCUGUAGUGGGACGUCAGAGUCAGUUCGUAUACUGCGGGAAAUGGUUGCUGGGGAGGUAGGUCGCUUCGGUGGCUAUUAUAUCCUGGUGACUAGUCGUCGUGGUGGGACUGAGGUGCCUACAAUGUGCUUUCGAGUCUAUGGGACUCUCGUUUGGCUGUUUGCCUUGAUAGCUUGCUAUGCUGGUGAAUAUGUUGGGCGAUUGAGAUCUGUAGUAACUUGUUGCUGUUCGGGACUUUGA